UACGUAGGGUGCAAGCGUUGUCCGGAAUCAUUGGGCGUAAAGAGCUCGUAGGCGGUUCGUCGCGUCGGCUGUGAAAACCCGGAGCUCAACUCCGGGCCUGCAGUCGAUACGGGCGGACUUGAGUGUUGCAGGGGAGACUGGAAUUCCUGGUGUAGCGGUGAAAUGCGCAGAUAUCAGGAGGAACACCGGUGGCGAAGGCGGGUCUCUGGGCAACUACUGACGCUGAGGAGCGAAAGCGUGGGGAGCGAACAGG
rnacentral:rRNA from 1 species